CUCUCCAUCAAGAGCAUGGAGA
rnacentral:snRNA from 1 species